AUACAAGGCUUUGGAUUUUAUACUUGCAGAUGCUGAACAUUACAAAAAAACUUGGGGCUACUCAUGUAGUUUUAUAUCUUAAAGUGAAGAGCUAAAGAGAUGGAGGACUGGAGAUGGAGUGUGCCUCUAAGAUUUUUCCAGUGACAUUUUGCCAAAUUUAAUACAACAGUUGAAUUUGACUGAAAAACUCCAGUUAUCUUCAUCUUUAGUUUUUGCCUCUUACUCCUGCAUAUAAUGUCCUGAGAGCUCAACCAACAGAGAUAAGUGCAAAAAUCAUCCAUAUAUUUCCUUAAUUUCAAAUAACUCCUCUGUGGACUGUUAUAUAAAUGUAUAUGACUCUGACUCCACUGGUAAGUAAUAACAAAUGUGACAAUAAAGGUAAGUUUCUUGGGGGAGGGUCUCUCAUUCUUUUUUUUUUUAUUAUUUUAAUCAGAGAAGUUAUGGUACUGCUAAAUUUAAAUUCUCCUGAGUCUUUCUAAAAGAUCUGUCUAUAAAAGUGUCUUUUAACUCUGUUUGUUUUCAUCAUUUUGGCCUGAAAAUUUUAUUCUUUACCUUCUUGAGAAGUCAGUAAACCACAUAUCAAACCUGUUCUUCUAUACAACAAAUCGGAAAUACCUUACAGGCUCUUCUUAGGCAGUACCUGUCAAGAUAUCAGAAGUGAAUGGCUUAGGAGAUUCAUUCACUCCCCAGAGCAGCCUGGGGCACAAGGGGAUGUGUCUGAAAUAUAAUCUGGUUUACCUGUCCUGUUGAUGCAUUAUUCCUCCAUUGUUGACUGUGUUGAGGUGACGGUGUCAAUAUAAUUUGACUGUACUGAGAAGGGCUUUUUGUUGUCACAGGACCAUGUCAGAUUGGUCAUCUUUGUUUGUAACAAACUUGCCUCUCUGCAAGCUUAUUAGUCACAAUUUGUUCCAGAAUAGACUGACAUUAAAUAAUUCUCAGUGCCAAUGGAAGAGGCAAGUACUUCUUUUAAUUCCUUCCUUCCAUCUGCCUGUCCAUCCUUCUGUCCUUCUUUCCAUCCAUCUUUCCUUUCUUCCUUCUGUUCAUCCUUCCUUCCUUCUGCAUUGUUUCUCUUAAUGUUUUCUGUUUCGGCAGUUGCCAGAGACUUCAGUGAAGUAAUGAAUUUAACCAGUAUGACUGAAGGGAGUAUAUUAUGGAUUUGUUUCUCCAGUAGCCAAUAUAACUUUUCUUGUUUUAUGAAGCCUGUAUCUCUGAAACAUUUAUUCUUCGGUAACUCCAUAGGGAUGGAGUGCCCUGUGCGUGAAAGAGCCACAUCAGCUAUCUGUUUGGAAUGGAAAAUUUCCUUGUCCUCCUGCGUUCUCUAUAUUCUGAGUUGUGGUAAUGGGGUUUACCACCUCUUGGACAUGUUACCGGUUUGCUCUUCUUGCGUCUCAAGCUGGUUGCGUCAGACUGAUCACCAAGCAAGACCAAGGGAGCAGCACAGAUGUGGAAACAAACACAAGGCAGAGAGAGGACCAGAGUGCACAGCAACUACUAAAACUUAUACUGUUGCUGAGAGAAAUGUCUGUGGACAUGCAGCCUCAGUUAAACAUUUAUGA
ensembl:lncRNA